AGAUAAAGUUUUAACCAGGAGAGCUUUCUGGGAAAAAAGUGUGUUUCUUGCUGGAGACAAAUGUCUGAAAUGUUCAGUGACUGGCUGCAAAGAUCAACUUGAUUGCCAAGUCUGAAAGGAAGGGAACAAGCACAAUGGAGCCCCCUCCCCAGCUCAGCCCCUCUUUUAUCCUUUCCCAUCCAGGAUCCAUGGGCACUCUGCCAACGGGGAAUCUUAAGAACUCAUUCAAAGGAACCCGAAGAAAGGAGCUUGUUUAAAACCAGGAGCCAUUCUUUCGCAGGCUCUUGUUUUUCUUUACGUUUCCCACGUGAGGAGGGAUUUUCUGGCUGUCAUUUUCUCUGACACAGCUUCUGAAAUGUACCGGGCUGAGAGGAUGUCACACUCGGUCCAGCGAUGGACACAGGACAGGGAGAAGGAGGAGACGGAGCGACCGCUAGAGUCAGAACCAGCAGCAUGCACCUGAACUAACACACACCGGGAGGCUGCAGCUAUCUGAUCAUUGGUUGGAGGGAUUCAUAAUUUCACUCAACUAGAGGCUCUGGCUCACACGUGUCACACCUUCAGUGGGUUCUUGUGGAAACGGUCACAUCGACGAGUCUCGAGUGCUUUUAUUAAAGAUAAAGCUAAAGUGUGGGCAGCCUGUCGCGGUGACCGUCCUCCAUCGUCUGAAUAACAGCUGGACUCUUUCAUUAAAGACAUGAAAUCAUUCACCACAACCCGUCAGCCAUACAUCUAUCUAAUCAGUAAUUAAGUCAGACUGUUUAUUAAAAUGUUUUUAUGGUUCUAGAUGGACUUUUCUCUGCUCUGACCCAGUUCCCUCGUGAGAAAGUGUUGUCUUCGAAAUGAUCGUUUAUUCUGUUCAGACUCGUAGCUUUUAGUCUGAUUAGUUUAUCUCAGCACAAGUAUCGUUCUUUAACUGUAGCUGAUGUGUGAGCAGGAGACGCCUUUGUGAUCGUAUUAUGUUUAUUCAUGACAAUAAAAACCCGUUCUCUAUUCAAUGAAGUUCAGGUAAAAUUCUGAUUUACUAAUUAUUCAUAAAGAAUGUUUGUUGUUUCCUGCUUAUGUAGUCCUGCUGAUCCAGCUGGAAGAAAACCCUUUCUAAAUAAAAGCUCAGGUCUCAGGAAAUAAAAGGAAAAGAUGGUUUUUUAUUACUUGUUUGGAAGUUUAACUGAAUCAUUAGUUUCAAACAUGAACUAAAAAGAAAAGUGAAGCUUUUUACUAAAUAGUAAAACCAGUUCCGGACCCUAAGCUGUGAACUGAGCUCCGGUCUGGUUUUAUGGAUCAUCAUCCUUCACGGGCCCGGAUGUAGCCAUGGGCAAGGAGGGGCAAUGCCCCCCUAAAAAUAGUAACUGCCCCCCCCCCCCACCCCCAAAUGCGAUGACAUGUAGAAAUCCCACAUUUGAAAAGAUCUGAUGAAAAAGGGUCAGAGUUCUCUCUCUCUCUCUCUCUCUCUCUCUCUCUCUCUCUCUCUCUCUCUCUCUCUCUCU
rnacentral:lncRNA from 1 species